AUGCAGGGGACUCUUACAACCCUGCUGGUCCUUCCACCUCCCAGCUGGCCACCCUCCCAACCACCCUCCCUGCCCAUGGCUAGACCAAGCCCAAAUGACAGCUUCUCUCUGUCCUGUGUCCCCUGCCCUGACCCCACAUCCAGGAGAAGGCCACACACCCUCCAGCAGCCCUGGUCACCCCACCAGCUCCCACCUGUCCUCACUGCUUCAAAGGCAGGCCUGCCCUUCUGGAACCAUGGCCCUGGAAGCCACUAAGCAGUGCCUCCAGCAAGGCCCCAGGGGCAUUCCCACCCCUCCUCUCCUGGCCGAGACCACAUGAUGGGGUCACUGGAUGGGACAGUGAAAGGCCUUGGGGUCUGGAAGCAACCACCACUGCCCAACUGCCACUGCCCAACCGCUACUGCCCAACUGCCACUGCCCAACUGCCACUGCCCAACUGCCACUGCCCAGCCUGAUGGCUCCACAUCUCAGGAGUAGGCUCUGAUUCCUUGGGGCCCCAGGAGCCUCUCAGGAGUCUACAUCCCAAGAUGUUCUAACUUCCAGAGUCUCCAAGCCCAUCAAGAGCAAGUUUUGCUAAAAGUGUUCUGAGAGCUUAUGAAGCACAUGGACAAGGAAGGGUUGUGCAUCCGGCUUUCCACCUUAAACUGGUUUCUAUGGUGCUUCAUCGAUGGGAUAAGGAUGCAUAGGAGACCCCAGGCCAGGAGUUCCUUCAGGACACACUGUCCUAGGCCUGGGCCCUGGAGGACAUGGUGAUGAGGCGCCCUGAGGCCUCCAUGGGGGACCUGAGAAGCAUGCACUGUGACCUGCACACCCAGGUGGGCUUCAGCACCAAGUCUCCUCCUGUGUCACCAUGCGGGGCAGUAAAUAGUGGGAAGUGCCCAGACCUCACCAGCCCUGCUCCCUGGGCCUUCCUCCAGCCCCUCCUCUCCCUCCUCCUCUAAGAAGCUUCUGAAACGAGGCUGCCUGAGCCUAGGGCAAACGCUGACCUUGGGUUUACUGGACAUGCCUCAGAGACAAUGAGACGUGAGCAAGACUCUUCCAAGCCCCUCCCCUGUACCCUCCUGCUCUCACUCCUGAAAGCCCCAGAAGGACACUGGAGGGGUCAGAUCCAUCUGUGCAAGCCCACAACCACACCUCCAAACCUGAGCAAGCACCCCCACCACCCAGGCCUCUGCAGAUAUCCCCCAGCAUUGAGACCCUCCCCAAGGGGAUGGGCUGGUUCUCCCUGGCCCACAGCCCAGCUCCAGCAGCCCAUGGGUAUAACCCUCCUGAAACAGGAGCCUCAUCCUCCCUCACCCUCACCUGGCUAUGCUGUACCCAAGGCCAAAGCCCAGAGGCAUAAGGGAGCUUCUGCAGAGCCCAGGACAGCAGGCUGCUCUCUGGGGGCCCUGGGGACUCAGAGUGUGGCCAGCCCAUCCCCAGCUCAGGAUAGACCACAGAGUGCUUGGUGAUUCCUGCAUUGGAACUCCCUCUCUAAUCUCCCCAUGGACCUGGACCUCAGAGGCCUGUGGUUUUCACAGUAGAGCUUGGAGCAGAGAUGCUAGGCCCCUGUCACUUCCAUAUGUGCCCUGGCCACCUCUAAGAUCAUAGGACUGGCCUAGCCCCCAAUACCAGACACUGCCCAGCCCCCUGAUAGCCCAGAGGUAGGGCCAGAGACAACUCUCCUGCAUGUGAUGCCUACAGCUGAUCACCCUUGGCAGACAGUGACCAUCACGGCCCAGAAGGAGCCAGGGCAGCACUUGGCAAGCUGCCCCAAAGCCCCAGAGAGCUCCUUAGACAUGGAAAGUCAAUACUGAUGGGGAAGCUGGACACUUGGAGGCCACUGGAGGGAGGGGUGAGCAUGGUGUCCCCACAGCCCAGGCCACCCAGCAUCAUGCCCUGCAUCCAUGGUCCCAACCUGUAGGGCAGAACUCCCCUCUCAACGCACAAUUCCUAGACCCAGAGGGCCCUAGCCCAGACUCAACCUGAGCCCUGAAAGGGAAGGGGCACCAGGGGUGCCUUGGGGCCUCCAGCAGCAGCCAAGAUACACAGGAGAUGGAGCCCCCUGUGGCCCUGGCCAGAACUAGUAUUUGGCUUAAGGCGGAGCAAGCCCCCUUGGAGCACUGCGUACAUACCCGGGGCCUAUGUGUGCCUGGCAAGGCCAAGCUGAUGAUGUUACCAAGCUCAAAGUACCACUGGCCACCUUGGUGAGGGUGGGGCAGAAACACGUGGACCAGCCACCAACCUCAUCCAUUCAAGGAAGCAGAAAUGCCCAGGCUCCUGCAGGAUAAGUGGCCACCACCAGACCACCAAUGGGGCAGAGUUCUGAGGCCCAAGCAGAUGGCACUGGGGCCUGCUUCCAGGGUCCACAAUCUGCUCCAGGACACAAGACUGAAGAAAACUAAGCAAAUGAGAGUCCAGGAGGCUGGAUCCCUCAUCUGCCAUUCUUGGCAGUUGCAUUUUGUGGUCAGAAAAAGUCAGGAAACUUGGCGCUACUCACUGCAGGAGGCUCCAAGGUGGGACCAGAGCUUCCAGCUAGAUUCAGCAAUGCCUAAGAAUGCCUCUUCUUGGGGAAAAGGACCCCUUCCUUGGCCUCAAAGCCCCCACUUAUUUUGAUUAAAGCACAAUAAAGUCUUUGUUGUUA